UACGUAGGGUGCGAGCGUUGUUCGGAAUUACUGGGCGUAAAGGGCUCGUAGGCGGCCAACUAAGUCAGACGUGAAAUCCCUCGGCUUAACCGGGGAACUGCAUCUGAUACUGGAUGGCUUGAGUUCGGGAGAGGGAUGCGGAAUUCCAGGUGUAGCGGUGAAAUGCGUAGAUAUCUGGAGGAACACCGGUGGCGAAGGCGGCACCCUGGACCGGCACUGACGCUGAGGAGCGAAAGCCAGGGGAGCAAACGGG
rnacentral:rRNA from 1 species